UUAAGUAGCCUGCCAGCCAAUGAGCUUCACGGAUAGAGCUGCGAUAAUUAUUGAACUACACCCGUCACGUUCCCGGCAUGCAUUGUUGAAACAGGGAGCGAGGAGAGAGCGAAAGCGAGAGAGGGUGGGGGCUCGGCUGGGGGGCUGAGAAGGAUCGUGGAGCUGAGCGCAGAAGAAGAAGCAGCAGCAUCAGAAGAAGAAGAAGAAGAAGAAGAAGAAGAGGAAGGGUCAUCAUCUUUACUCAUCUCUGACAACCUCUCAGGAUUUCAGGCGUUCCUCCCCCUCACCUCCUCAAGCCUGACAGACCCAAAAGCCCAUCACCAUGAACUACCUUCGUCGCCGCCUAUCAGACAGUAGCUUUGUGGCCAACCUCCCCAAUGGCUACAUGAUGGAUCUGCAGAGGCCAACCCCUCCAGGUUCGUCCACCUCCUCGCCCACCUCCCCGGCCACAGAGAGGCGUCAGCCCCCGAGCAUCCCGAGCCAGACCCGGGGCUCGGGCUCAGGGAGCUUCCUUAGCUCCUUCUCCAGCGUUGUGAAGAGUGCUCAGAUGGCCCAGAAUGUUGCCGCUGCUGCACAUGGUAAAUCAGUGGCAACAUCAGCUGAGGGUGCCUCUGCAGGAAGCAGUCAGCUUGCCAAGCCUCUCAUAUGUAAGCCCAAGAUUCUCAUGGUGAUUGAUGAUCAGCACACAGACUGGGCAAAGUAUUUCAGAGGAAAGAAGCUGAAUGGAGAGUACGAGAUCCGGGUGGAGCAGGCGGAGUUCUCAGAGAUCAACCUGGCCUCCUACGUCAACUCGGGAUGUAUGGUGGACAUGCAGGUCAACAAAGGUGGCACUAAAGUGGUCAGGUCCUUCAAACCAGACUUUGUCCUGAUUCGCCAGCACGCCUACAGCAUGGUCCCUGGUGAGGACUUCAGGAACCUUGUGAUUGGCCUGCAUUUUGGCGGCGUCCCAAGCAUGAACUCACUUUUCUCCAUCUACAACUUCUGCAGCAAACCUUGGGUGUUUUCUCAGAUGAUUAAGCUUUACCACUCCCUUGGUCCUGAGAAAUUCCCCCUGAAUGAACAAACCUUUUGCCCCAAUCACACACAGAUGGUUACGACUCCUUCCUACCCUGUCGUGGUCAAGAUGGGGCACGCCCAUGCUGGUAUGGGAAAGAUCAAAGUUGAAAACCAACAGGACUUCCAGGACAUCACCAGUGUGGUGGCUCUGGCCAGAACUUAUGCCACCACCGAGCCCUACAUCCAGUCCAAGUACGAUAUCCGCAUCCAGAAGAUCGGCAACAACUACAAGGCUUACAUGAGAACGUCCAUUUCUGGCAACUGGAAGGCUAACACAGGUUCUGCCAUGUUGGAACAGAUCGCAAUGACUGACCGAUAUCGGCUGUGGGUGGACUCCUGUGCUGAGAUGUUUGGUGGCCUAGACAUCUGUGCAGUGAAGGCUGUCCAUGGAAAAGAUGGCAACGACUAUAUCAUUGAGGUGAUGGACAGCUCUAUGACUCUGAUUGGUGAGCAUGUAGAGGAAGAUAAACAGCUAAUCACAGAGCUGGUUAUCAACAAGAUGGCCAAUGUGCUGCUGGGAGUUUCCAAACCUCAGCCUUGCUCUGUCAAGACAACACAGCCCAGACGAGGAGGACACCGCUCUGCUUCCGCCUCUCCAUCCCCAUCAGCUGAGGGGUCACCUCAGCGAACCCGGUCAGCCACCACCUCGCCCAGCCAGGCCUUCCAGCCUGGUCCCAUCCCUGCCUCCUCAGUGCCUGGAGCUCAGAAACAAUCCCCACAGCUAAACAAAUCCCAGUCACUGACCAAUACCUUCACAGAGACGUUACGAGGAAGUCUGAACGACGACGAGGCCAAAGCUGAGACCAUCCGCAGCCUCCGACAGUCCUUCGCCAGCCUCUUCUCUGACUAAAAACUUCCCGAGAAACUUCCUCUUCCUAUAUAUUUUUUUUCUCCCAUUUCAUUUCGAGGGACCUGGACAAGAAAGAAAAUGACUGACUGCACUUGUGAACGAUAUGGACCUGGUCCUGUUAGCCCAAGCCAAGAUGGCUGCCGAGUGGCAAAACUUGCCUAUAAGGACUUUGUCCAUUAUCACACAGUGCUGUUAUCAAAUAACCACUUGAAUUUUUUUUUUCAUCUUUGAAACAGGAGGACCCCUUCAGCUGAAAUGACAGUUGUCACUAGUAUUUUUAUCAGGUGUAGUUAGCCAGAUAAUUAAGAUAACCUUAGCCCCAUGAGUUCAUUGAAAAUGCCAUCUAUACCUGACUUUGUAAUAUUUCCAGCUGACUCCGUUUAAAGCAGGAAUGCUGUAAAAGUAUGCAUUUCAUGGCUACAUACAUGAUAGUAUGCUAAAGGACUGAGAUUAACACUGCAUGUCCCAGGAAAAUAUGUCAGCAUCCUCCACUGUUGAUACAUGUAAAAGAUGUGUAAAUAAAGACAGAAUUGUUCUUGUAUCAUAGUGUUAUUAUUGAAGUAGUUCUAGGAAGGAAAAAUGUAAAAUCAGACUCAUAUUUUAGUCUGACUUAACCCUGUUUGGUUGUUUAAUUUAUAUACUUGGCCAGGCAAAACAGAGGUUAGAUUUAUGACUUUUUCAUUCAUAUUUUCAAAAAGUAGGUUUAACUUUUAAUGUUACAAAAGUAAAGGCUUUUAAAAUGAGGACUAGCCCAAUGUUUUGUGAAUGCAAUGCAUUACAUAAUGUAAAACUGAAAAAUAAUGUAGUGUGAAAUUCUCAUUGCCCUUGGAAGUAACAUUACUACUGUAAGUAGUAAGCUAGUUGCAUGCAUGUAGUUGCAUACAUGCUGAAAUUUGUAGCUGAUGUUAGAGCAGAUAAAGAGACUAUUUAAUCCAUUCCUUACACUUUGCUCUGUAGUUUUGAUAUGGACUGUAUCAUAAUGUAAAGAAUGGUUAGCAAAUGGUCAAUUAGCCUGCUCAAGUAACUCACAUAUGAUUGUUUUGUUCCCUCAAACCAGUCAUAGGUUGUAAUAAAUCUUCCUUCAAGGAUUGUUUGGAAAAGUAAAACUCUGAUCUACAGUCAGCUUUAUCUCUGAGUUAAUGCAGUGUCUUGUCAUUGAGCACGUUUGCAAGUGUUUCAUUACCUUUGGCACUGUGUCAAAAUGGACCAAAUUAGCAUUUUGCUACCCGACGGUUUAAAUCAUGUUGUUUUGUCUUUGUUGUUUACUAUCCCUUAUGUGCCACGCAAUAAUGGCUGUGACGUCACUGAUAAACUGACAUAUUAACUUUGAUCACUGUGUCUGUUAACUUUAAAGAUAGUAGGUGCCCUAUUCUGCCCUACAGAGCCACACAGCAGUAACUGUUUUUGAUUUUGAAUUAAAAUCAAGAUAAAUCAUACCACAGUUUUUACUAGUACUUCUGUCAGGAUAAAAAAUAAACUUUGAUGUCACUUUUCUCAUUUUUAAUGCACUUUGGGUUUAAAAUGGAGGUUAGGAUCAAGUUGAUGCCAUACAUAUGCUCAUCUCUUAGGUCAGAUUAUAAUCAAUGACUGGAUGUCAGAUGAUUUAAGAUUCUCACAAGUGUAUAUUUCCUUUUUUUAAAUUUAGGAACAGACAUUUGGCUGCUAUAUAGUAGUUUAACACAACUGAUUUGACUCAAUUUGAAGUGAGCUGCAAAAUUUACUAGUAACUAUCUCAAAUUAAGCAGUGCUCUGCAGAAACUGAUUUUGUGAAAUGAGCAGUGUGAGAAGUAAUUUCUUCCUCAGCCAGAAACAUCGGUCACUCAAUCACUCCCCAAACAUAUUCCACUUUAAGUAUAGCAUCCCCUUAAUGGAAUUUGAUUAAAUGGAUGUAACUACUAAGACCUUAACAUGUAAAAUAAAGAUAAAUAUAUAUAGUUAUAUAAUGAAGCUGCCAUUUAUAGCCUGUUGUGUAUGCUGUACCUGAUGGGUACUUAAAGGCAGCAUACACAGGAGGGCCUGGUUAACAUUUUUCAUUCUGUCUUUUUUGCUGCCAACAUCUAGUAAGCAUUAUAGGAACAGUUUAAAGAUCAUUUUCAUAUUAUGAAGAUAAUAAGGCUGAAAGAGAAGUGUCUUUUAAUGUCAUUUGCUUGAUUGACAGCUUCCUCGGCCUAUAAGAGCCUCAGCUCUGCUCAGUCUUCCUCACCAACUCUCCUAAAACCUGUUGUUGAUGUCACAGAUGCAAAAUCAAUGUUAUUUUACAGUGUGUGCACAGCUGGGACUCAUUUCAUUGAAUUUUGUGAGAAAAAAAUUGCAUCACUACACCCAUCUUUUCUUUUAUUACAUGCUUUCAAGGUUAAAUACAACAUUUUAUUUGGAGAAAAUGCAACACUCUGCUACUUUCAAGUUUGUUUGUUUUUCUUUUGGUUAUGUCAUGGUUGAGUCACAGGCUCAACUUUGUUUGUGUUGAACUGAUAAAUAGCGUAACACUGAAUUGAAUAUGUAGCCAUACAGACUUGCCAUUAUUACAGCUAAUACUCCAAGGUGUUCAAGUCCACUUUAAAUGUGGUAUUUGUAAAUGUGACCUAUACAAGAUUGCAUGACUUUAUUGGCCAAUCUUUCAGUCUACUGUGUUCCUUCCUCUCUGCUGAAUGCUGGCUGGUAUUGUAUGGUACUCUAAGUGUAUUGACAUUCUGUAUAAUGGUAUAAAUGUAGCAUGAAACCAACCCCUCUUUUGUGCCUCAGGUGUGUAAAUUUGGUUGUUAUGUGAUCUUAAUGUCUUGCUCCUUGGUGUG